AUCCCUGUAGCUCAGUUGGUAGAGCAUGGUGUUUGCAACGCAUGGUGUUCGCAACGCCAGGGUUGUGGGUUCGAUUCCCACGGGGGGCC
rfam:Salmo salar isolate Sally breed double haploid chromosome ssa21, whole genome shotgun sequence.